rnacentral:rRNA from 1 species
UACCCGCUGAAUUUAAGCAUAUAAGUAAGCGGAGGAUAAGAAACUAAAUAGGAUUCCCUCAGUAAUGGCGAAUGAACAGGGAUAAGCUCAGCAUGGAAAUUGGGGCCUCUGGCCUUGAAUUGUAGUCUCGAGAUGUACCGCCAACGGAGGCGCAGAUGUAAGCCUCUUGGAAAAGAGCAUCAACGAGGGUGAGAGUCCCGUUUGUCAUCUGCAGUCCCCCGUGUACGGUGUACCUUCUAAGAGUCGCGUUCCUCGGGAUUGGAGCGUAAAGUGGGUGGUAAAUUUCAUCUAAAGCUAAAUAUUGGUUCGAGACCGAUAGCAAACAAGUACCAUGAGGGAAAGGUGAAAAGGACUUUGAAAAGAGAGUUAAAAGUGCCUGAAAUUGCUGAAAGGAAAGCGAAUGGAACCAGUCUUCUUGGCGAGAUUGUUGCGGGCUUCCGCCCGUAGUGUUUCUUGCCUUGAUUGUCAACGUCAGUUCACAAUCGAGGAAAACUCCGAGGACGUGGUAGUUUGCCCCUGGGUGAGCGAAUGUGCUCGGCAGAACUCAUUUGUGUACUGAUCCCUGCGUGUCUGGUUGCAGUGCUCUGCGUCCCCGUGUGUUGGUGCUUGCGCCUUCUCUGGGCGACCAGUGCAUCUCCCUGACACAAAGACGAUGACUAAAUGGUUCUAUUCGACCCGUCUUGAAACACGGACCAAGGAGUCUAACAUAUGUGCGAGUUCACGGGCGGGUAAACCUGCUUGCGCAAUGAAAGUGACUGCUGGGAUAUUUGCACCAGCAACCGACCGAUCAAUUGAGAGAGGUUUGAGUAUGAGCAUAUCUGUUAGGACCCGAAAGAUGGUGAACUAUGCCUGAGAAGGGUAAACUCAGGGGAAACUCUGAUGGAGGCUCGUAGCGAUACUGACGUGCAAAUCGUUCGUCAUACUUGGGUAUAGGGGCGAAAGACUAAUCGAACCAUCUAGUAGCUGGUUCCCUCCGAAGUUUCCCUCAGGAUAGCUGGAGUUGAACAGUUUUAUCAGGUAAAGCGAAUGAUUAGAGGAAUCGGGGACGCGUUGUCCUCGACCUAUUCUCAAACUUUAAAUGGGUAAGAUCCAGUGGUUACUUGGGUGAACUUCUGGGAUAAAUGACAACUCUAAGUGGGCCAUUUUUGGUAAGCAGAACUGGCGAUGAGGGAUGAACCUAACGUUGGGUUAAGGUGCUUAACUGCUCGCUCAUCAGAUACCAUAAAGGGUGUUGGUUCAUUUUAACAGCAGGACGGUGGUCAUG